rnacentral:rRNA from 1 species
AUUAACAGGAUUAGAUACCCUGGUAGUCCACGCCGUAAACGAUGAUAACUAGCUGUCCGGGCACUUGGUGCUUGGGUGGCGCAGCUAACGCAUUAAGUUAUCCGCCUGGGGAGUACGGCCGCAAGGUUAAAACUCAAAUGAAUCGACGGGGGCCUGCACAAGCGGUGGAGCAUGCGGUUUAAUUCGAAGUAACGCGCAGAACCUUACCAGCGUUUGACAUGUCCGGACGAUUUCCAGAGAUGGAUCUCUUCCCUUCGGGGACUGGAACACAGGUGCUGCAUGGCUGUCGUCAGCUCGUGUCGUGAGAUGUUGGGUUAAGUCCCGCAACGAGCGCAACCCUCGCCUUUAGUUGCCAUCAUUCAGUUGGGCACUUUAAAGGAACCGCCGGUGAUAAGCCGGAGGAAGGUGGGGAUGACGUCAAGUCCUCAUGGCCCUUACGCGCUGGGCUACACACGUGCUACAAUGGCGGUGACAGUGGGCAGCAAGCACGCGAGUGUGAGCUAAUCUCCAAAAGCCGUCUCAGUUCGGAUUGCACUCUGCAACUCGAGUGCAUGAAGGCGGAAUCGCUAGUAAUCGCGGAUCAGCAUGCCGCGGUGAAUACGUUCCCAGGCCUUGUACACACCGCCCGUCACACCAUGGGAGUUGGAUUCACCCGAAGGCGUUGCGCUAACUCGUAAGAGAGGCAGGCGACCACGGUGGGUUUAGCGACUGGGGUGAAGUCGUAACAAGGUAACCGUA